rnacentral:rRNA from 1 species
GAUGAACGCUGGCGGCGUGCCUAAUACAUGCAAGUCGAGCGAACAGACGAGGAGCUUGCUCCUUUGACGUUAGCGGCGGACGGGUGAGUAACACGUGGGUAACCUACCUAUAAGACUGGGAUAACUUCGGGAAACCGGAGCUAAUACCGGAUAAUAUUUCGAACCGCAUGGUUCGAUAGUGAAAGAUGGCUUUGCUAUCACUUAUAGAUGGACCUGCGCCGUAUUAGCUAGUUGGUAAGGUAACGGCUUACCAAGGCAACGAUACGUAGCCGACCUGAGAGGGGGAUCGGCCACACUGGAACUGAGACACGGUCCAGACUACUACGGGAGGCAGCAGUAGGGAAUCUUCCGCAAUGGGCGAAAGCCUGACGGAGCAACGCCGCGUGAGUGAUGAAGGUCUUCGGAUCGUAAAACUCUGUUAUUAGGGAAGAACAAACGUGUAAGUAACUGUGCACGGCUUGACGGUACCUAAUCAGAAAGCCACGGCUAACUACGUG